rnacentral:rRNA from 1 species
GUUGUAUGGUUAAGUGACUAAGCGUACACGGUGGAUGCCUGGGCAGUCAGAGGCGAUGAAGGACGUACUAACUUGCGAUAAGCGCAGAUAAGGCAGUAAGAGCCGUUUGAGUCUGCGAUUUCCGAAUGGGGAAACCCAACUGCAUAAGCAGUUACUGUUAACUGAAUACAUAGGUUAACAGAGCAAACCGGGGGAACUGAAACAUCUAAGUACCCCGAGGAGAAGAAAUCAACCGAGAUUCCGGUAGUAGCGGCGAGCGAACCUGGAUUAGCCCUUAAGCACUCGGUGAAGUAGGUGAACAAGCUGGAAAGCUUGGCGAUACAGGGUGAUAGCCCCGUAACCGACGCUUCAUCGAGCGUGAAAUCGAGUAGGGCGGGACACGUGAUAUCCUGUCUGAAUAUGGGGGGACCAUCCUCCAAGGCUAAAUACUCCUGACUGACCGAUAGUGAACCAGUACCGUGAGGGAAAGGCGAAAAGAACCCCUGUGAGGGGAGUGAAAUAGAACCUGAAACCGUGUACGUACAAGCAGUAGGAGCACCUUCGUGGUGUGACUGCGUACCUUUUGUAUAAUGGGUCAGCGACUUAUAUUCAGUGGCAAGGUUAACCGUAUAGGGGAGCCGUAGCGAAAGCGAGUCUUAACUGGGCGUUCAGUCUCUGGAUAUAGACCCGAAACCGGGUGAUCUAGCCAUGGGCAGGUUGAAGGUUGAGUAACAUCAACUGGAGGACCGAACCGACUAAUGUUGAAAAAUUAGCGGAUGACUUGUGGCUAGGGGUGAAAGGCCAAUCAAACUCGGAGAUAGCUGGUUCUCCCCGAAAGCUAUUUAGGUAGCGCCUCGGACGAAUACUACUGGGGGUAGAGCACUGUUAAGGCUAGGGGGUCAUCCCGACUUACCAACCCUUUGCAAACUCCGAAUACCAGUAAGUACUAUCCGGGAGACACACGGCGGGUGCUAACGUCCGUCGUGGAGAGGGAAACAACCCAGACCGCCAGCUAAGGUCCCAAA